GAGUGCGUGUUAACUAUUGCUGUACAUCUGCCCUCCCUGGCGGGUAUUUAUAUAUGCCCCACAAAGGAAGCCUGGAAGAUGACAAGCAGAGCACUGCUGAGCUGGGAUUGCUCCUAUCUUGUGUUGGAGAUGAAAAGUGAGAUUGGAUGAGGGUGCAGCAUGCAUCCUGUGUUUGAUAUGCCAAGCAUCUGAGGGAUCCAUACGUCGCAAUGAGGAAGAACCUGCUCGAUUUAUGCUUGUCAAAAAGAACUGGUACUUCUUUACACUCUGGACAAAGUCACAGGUAUGAGAUUAUGUUUGAGAUAUUUUUCAGCAGAAAGCAACCAGACUUGUACCGAACUGUGGCAUCUACAUGAAUUCCAGCUCUGUUCAUGUUUCUCAUGCUGAAGGAACGAGAUUUACAUGUUUCAAUGGCACUCUUCUCCAAGGUUGCAUAACUCAACAUAGCAAUAUAAACACAUGUCAGUGAAGGGUUCUCUUCAUAUUUGCCUUCUCUCAUAUGCUUUUCAGCUGCAUUUACUCCAUGCUCGACAUGGACCAGAAGUGAUGACACCUUUGGUGAUGGACCACUGUAGUCAAGCAACUUGGAGGUGAUUGGGACUGCUCAACUGAAGAGGAACAUGGAGGGUUACCUUACAUCAAUCCAGCUCCAACUCAAGGAAGGAUACAUCACAUACAGGUAACAGUUAUUCUUCUCAAUUCGAUAAAUUGUUGAAGUAUAUAUUGAGUCGUAUUAUUAUUAUUAUUAUUUUACCCUUUAAGUUCUUAAAAUUAGUGGUCACUCAAUUCAAAAUCUUUAAGAUAGUAUUAAAGUAGAUGAUGAAUUCAAAUCUUAUAUUUGUCUCUCUUUCUUAAAGUAAUAUUCAUUCUUCAUUUGGGCUUAUACCACACACUUGGUGGUUUUUAUUCACAUGUCAAGUGGGCUUAGACCGACUUGGUCAUGAGAGGAAAUAAAUGUUAAGGUAUAUAUUAGAUCCCCUUUGGAAAUAGCAGUCAAAUCUUUCAGAUUUAUAAUCAGCAUCUUUUGAUUUUGAAACAUAGGUCCUUAUGAAAAGUCAGAACAUCAUAGAAACAGAGAUGUGUUUGAUCAUGCAAGUCCCCUUCACUUUUUGAUGUCCGUCCAAUAAUUGGUAUUGUGAAGUCCAUGAACAACCAAGCCAGCAUCUUUAAUGUACUAACUUCUGAUCAGCUAUUGCAUAUAGCACUUUUUGAGGUGGCUAAAAGUGAGAUGGUUAAAGCCUCAAAGACACAACCCAUGUGCCCUGGCUGUUUUCACAAGGCAUUUUCUCACACAUAGGAACACCCAUAAGAGCCAAAUAAGCAGUAGGAAACACAGCAGAAAGAUGCAUAAAUCAGAAAGAGAGAGCAUCAUCUUGUUCACAGUAGUUUCUUGUGAACAUCCACUAUCUUUCUUGACAUAAA